GUAACAAGGUUUCCGUAGGUGAACCUGCGGAAGGAUCAUUACUGAGUGCGGGCUGCCUCCGGGCGCCCAACCUCCCACCCGUGACUACCUAACACUGUUGCUUCGGCGGGGAGCCCUCUCGGGGGCGAGCCGCCGGGGACUACUGAACUUCAUGCCUGAGAGUGAUGCAGUCUGAGUCUGAAUAUAAAAUCAGUCAAAACUUUCAACAAUGGAUCUCUUGGUUCCGGCAUCGAUGAAGAACGCAGCGAACUGCGAUAAGUAAUGUGAAUUGCAGAAUUCAGUGAAUCAUCGAGUCUUUGAACGCACAUUGCGCCCCCUGGCAUUCCGGGGGGCAUGCCUGUCCGAGCGUCAUUGCUGCCCAUCAAGCCCGGCUUGUGUGUUGGGUCGUCGUCCCCCCCGGGGGACGGGCCCGAAAGGCAGCGGCGGCACCGUGUCCGGUCCUCGAGCGUAUGGGGCUUUGUCACCCGCUCGAUUUAGGGCCGGCCGGGCGCCAGCCGACGUCCAACCAUUUUUCUUCAGGUUGACCUCGGAUCAGGUAGGGAUACCCGCUGAACUUAAGCAUAUCA
rnacentral:misc_RNA from 1 species